GGGUAACCUGCCCAAGAGAUCGGGAUAACACCUGGAAACAGAUGCUAAUACCGGAUAACAACAGGUGAUGCCUAUCAACUGUUUAAAAGAUGGUUCUGCUAUCACUCUUGGAUGGACCUGCGGUGCAUUAGCUAGUUGGUAGGGUAACGGCCUACCAAGGCGAUGAUGCAUAGCCGAGUUGAGAGACUGAUCGGCCACAUUGGGACUGAGACACGGCCCAAACUCCUACGGGAGGCAGCAGAG
rnacentral:rRNA from 1 species